AUACGGAGGGUGCAAGCGUUAUUCGGAAUCACUGGGCGUAAAGGACGCGUAGGCGGGAUGCCAAGUCUGAUGUGAAAUCCUACAGCUCAACUGUAGAACUGCAUUGGAAACUGGUAACCUAGAGUAUGGGAGGGGGAGAUGGAAUUAGUGGUGUAGGGGUAAAAUCCGUAGAUAUCACUAGGAAUACCUAAAGCGAAGGCGAUCUCCUGGAACAAUACUGACGCUAAGGCGUGAAAGCGUGGGGAGCAAACGGGAUUAGAAACCCUAGUAGUCC
rnacentral:rRNA from 1 species